UGGUAGGUAGCUCAGGAGUUAGAGCGCUUAAACAUCUUUGUUCAAAACUUGCCCUAUCGGGGACGACGAAUAAAGAUUACCGCCUGUCAAGCGAGAGGUCGCGGGUGCAAAUCCCGCUCUACCAC
rnacentral:tRNA from 1 species